rnacentral:rRNA from 1 species
GACGAACGCUGGCGGCGUGCUUAACACAUGCCAGUCGAACGGAAAGGCCCAGCUUGCUGGGUGCUCGAGUGGCGAACGGGUGAGUAACACGUGGGUGAUCUGCCCCUAACUUCGGGAUAAGCUUGGGAAACUGGGUCUAAUACCGGAUAGGACAAUCGUUUAGUGUCGGUUGUGGAAAGUUUUUUCGGUUAGGGAUGAGCCCGCGGCCUAUCAGCUUGUUGGUGGGGUAAUGGCCUACCAAGGCGUCGACGGGUAGCCGGCCUGAGAGGGUGGACGGCCACAUUGGGACUGAGAUACGGCCCAGACUCCUACGGGAGGCAGCAGUGGGGAAUAUUGCACAAUGGGCGCAAGCCUGAUGCAGCGACGCCGCGUGGGGGAUGACGGCCUUCGGGUUGUAAACCUCUUUCGACAGGGAUGAAGCUUUGGUGACGGUACCUGUAUAAGAAGCACCGGCUAACUACGUG